CAUAUUCAUUGUCAUCCAAAGAAAGAAGAGAUAAAGGAAUAAUUAAAGUACAAAAUCAAGUACAUUCCAAGUACAAAGGGGGGGACCAUUGUUUUUGAAUUCAUUUGAAGCUCUAAAAAGGCUUUCAAACCUUCAUUUUCUGUCCCAAAUGAAAUUCUUCUUCACCGAAGGGGUUCUAGGCCGAGACUUGAGAAUUAGGGUUGAAAAAUUUGAAAAAACUUAACGUCCAAUCACAAGCUUCCAUGUCAUCCCUAGCUAAUCGGCCAAAUUGAGUUCUUAGGUAGAUUUCCUAGUUUCUAAUUGUUGUUUCUAGUUUCAAUUUUGUUGUUCUUUCACUAAUUAGCAAACUAGUAAGUACCUACUAGUUUGGUAAUUAGAUUAGUGUCUGAUUAUUUCGUUUCUUCAAUUUUUGUGUGCUUUUCUCAUUUUUAAUUCGUAGUAAUUUGUUGGUUCAAGUCCGUGCAUCAUUUUAUUUGAGUCAUAUCAAACAAAAAUCGAUUCCAGACCAAAGCAUAUUCACCACUCUUUCACUUGCCAAGUAUUGCCAAGUUUUCAACACUUGUGAGACCAAGUGUGAUGUAAGAUCCGAGUGUGAGUGUGGUGAGGCGUUUUUGAACUAACUUGUUUGCUCGUUUUGUAGGUUGUUUUGCUUGCUAUUUUUUGCACUUUUUUGGUACAUUUUCCAUGGAAUCCAAAAGUACUACUUUCCAACCUUUGAAAUGAUGCUAUUGGAGUUUUGAUGGCUCGGCUUGAGGCCUUCGCCCAAAAAAUGAAGGAUGAUAAUGAUGCUUUGAGAAGAGGUAUGAAGGGUGAUAUGGAUGCAAUGAGGGGUGACAUGAUUAGAAUUAAAGGGAGGGUUGAUAGACUAUGUCCACCAAAAUCUCCACAAAAUUGAAACCACUAAGUUCCAAACUCACUUGACCAAAGGCUACCUUCACAAUUCCAAACACCUCAAGUCCAAAGAUCCUAUACUUCACGAAAUCUAAUGACUCCUCUCCAUGAGUUAGAAACCAAAGAGAGUGAGGCCAAGCCUAAAUAUGGAUAGAAAAUGAAUGGUGAGGUACAAGAAGAAUGUGAAGAAAGAAGGGAAAAAAAUGCUUGAUUGUGGAUCUUGUCCACAAAGGACCCUUGUUAUUCACUAACCCAAAUGGUAGAAUUUUUUCUAGUAUUUUCUCUUCUCAUGUACAGGUUCAAGACCCUAGAAGUCCCGAGGGGAAGCCCAAGAAAGUUCCCUUCAAGCCCUUGGCCGAAAGUCCCAAUUUGGGGAUAAGUGAUGAAGAAAUUAGUCCAAAGGGAAACCUUGACAUAAUCCCUUGUAAUGUGGAGAAUGAAGUCUGCCAUAAUGCAAACCCAAGUGAAGAACACACUUCUCAUGAUCUACAAGAUUUGAGUACUAGUUACCACUGCUGACGCUGAGAUUCAUGUUGCUCAGAGUUUGGAGAUGGGGUGAGCUUUUGAAGUCAGAGUUGACCUUUUUUCCUUUUAUUUUUAAUAGUCUUUUAUUUUUGAGACUGAUGUAUAUUUGACUACUAUGGUACUCGUAUUCUCUUGGAUUAGUGGCUCUUAUACUGAUACUACUAGGUCGUGGGAUGUUGUUACUUAUUUUAUUUUUCUUUUCUUAUGAUAUUAUUGAUGAUUAUUGCCUG